rnacentral:snRNA from 1 species
AUUAUUUAAAUAUAAUCAUCCGAUAAAAUUGGAACGAUACAGUAAAGAUUAAUAUGGCCCCUGCGCAAGGAUGACACGCACAAAUCAAGAAAUGGUCCAAAUAUUU